CAAUAUUAAAUGAUGACUUCAUAGUUCAUCUGAACGCUUUGAUGUACACACUUUUUAUGUCUUUCGCUCCUAUCUGAUUAUAACA
rnacentral:snoRNA from 1 species